rnacentral:rRNA from 1 species
UACGUAGGGCGCAAGCGUUAUCCGGAAUUAUUGGGCGUAAAGAGCUCGUAGGCGGUUUGUCGCGUCUGCCGUGAAAGUCCGGGGGCUCAACUCCGGAUCUGCGGUGGGUACGGGGCAGACUAGAGUGAUGUAGGGGGAGACUGGAAUUCCUGGUGUAGCGGUGAAAAUGCGCAGAUAUCAGGAGGAACACCGAUGGCGAAGGCAGGUCUCUGGGCAUUUAACUGACGCUGAGGAGCGAAAAGCAUGGGGGAGCGAACAGG